UACGUAGGGUGCAAGCGUUUAAUCGGAAUUACUGGGCGUAAAGCGUGCGCAGGCGGUUGUGCAAGACAGAUGUGAAAUCCCCGGGCUUAACCUGGGAAUUGCAUUUGUGACUGCACGGCUAGAGUGUGUCAGAGGGGGGUAGAAUUCCACGUGUAGCAGUGAAAUGCGUAGAUAUGUGGAGGAAUACCGAUGGCGAAGGCAGCCCCCUGGGAUAACACUGACGCUCAUGCACGAAAGCGUGGGGGAGCAAACAGG
rnacentral:rRNA from 1 species